rnacentral:rRNA from 1 species
GACGAACGCUGGCGGCGUGCCUAACACAUGCAAGUCGAACGGAAAGGCCCUGCUUUUGUGGGGUUCUCGAUUGGCGAACGGGUGAGUAACACGUGUGUAACCUGCUCUUGACUUUGGUAUAACUUCACGAAACUGGGGUUAAUACAGGAUAGGAUCCCCCGUUGCAUGGUGGGGGUUGGAUAUUUUCGGCGGUCGGGGAUGGACUGGCGGCUUACGAGCUUGUUGGUGGGGUAGUGGCUUACCAAGGCUUUGACGGGUAGCCGGCCUGUGAGGGUGGCCGGCCACAAUGGGACUGAGAGACGGCCCAGACUCCUACGGGAGGCAGCAGUGGGGAGUAUUACACAGUGAGCGGAAGCCUGAUGCAGAGACGCCGCGUGCGGGAAGACGGCCUGCGGGGUGUGAACCGCUUUCGGCUGUGACGAAGCGGGAGUGACGGUAAUGGAUAAAGAAGCACCGGCUAACUACGUG